rnacentral:rRNA from 1 species
AGGACGAACGCUGGCGGCGUGCUUAACACAUGCAAGUCGAACGGAAAGGCCCUUCGGGGUACUCGAGUGGCGAACGGGUGAGUAACACGUGAGCAAUCUGCCCCUAGCUCUGGGAUAGCUCCGGGAAACCGGGAUUAAUACCAGAUAUUACUACGGCCGACAUCAGCUGUGGUGGAAAGAAUUUCGGCUAGGGAUGAGCUCGCGGCCUAUCAGCUUGUUGGUGGGGUAAAGGCCCACCAAGGCGACGACGGGUAGCCGGCCUGAGAGGGCGACCGGCCACACUGGGACUGAGACACGGCCCAGACUCCUACGGGAGGCAGCAGUGGGGAAUAUUGCGCAAUGGGCGAAAGCCUGACGCAGCGACGCCGCGUGCGGGAUGAAGGCCUUCGGGUUGUAACCGCUUUCAGCAGGGACGAAGCGAAAGUGACGGUACCUGCAGAAGAAGCGCCGGCUAACUACGCGCCAGCAGCCGC